CUGGUUUAAAUCCACGCUGACCCCUCGCCGGACUCCGGUCUCCUCUGGCCCCGUUCGCCUCCCGAACUUCCAGCGGGAUUGAGGACCUAGGGACCGACUCCGGGUUAAAAGUGGAAAAUGGCAGAUGAGAAAAAACACCUUUCUGAUGGAUGAUGAAAGGAACCAGAUCAAUUAACAGUGUGGCCGUGUUCGGAGGGACCAGUUCACAGCCAGUAUGAGCAGGAGGGAUGAUCACACACAGCAACGAC